UUGCAUGUUUCGGCCCCCGGGCCUCUUUUUUUUUCGCCUCUCUAUACUCCCCAUAUAGAGCGGGCAAGUGGAAACAUGCUAGAUUAACUAAAACAUUUGGGGAGUUAACAGGGCCACCAGUCUUUCAAGGUCAGGCUGAGUUGGUAGUAUAAUACUCCCACAUUC